GNCUAGAUAGCCUGGCGUCUUCUGUCUUUCCAAGGUACAUUUUAAUCUAUUGAAUGCAAGAAGAUAAAGAUUAGUCUUGAUGCAAAGAGUGAAAUUACUUCAUCCGUGACGGCAGAAGAUCAUUUGGUGGCAACAUCUUCAAUACCAGAUUAAAUACUUAGAACUUAAUUUUAUUUUGAUGCGAAACCCUUCAGAAUUUAAUAUAUUAUAGUUGAAUAACCGAGUUUACUUUAGAUAGAUAGUUGUAUAUUUUAGAAUGAAUUUUUGAAAUUUUUGGAUAUAAAUUUGUAUAAUAAAGUGAUAUUCAAAGUU